rnacentral:rRNA from 1 species
AUGCACGCUGCCAGAAUGCUUAACACCUGCAAGUCUUUGGCGAAGCUGUGCUUGCACAGCCUAGCCAAGGCGGACGGGUGAGUAACGCGUAAGGAACUUGCCCUGCAGUCAGGGAUAACAGACGGAAACGACUGAUAAGACCUGGUAAAGUCAGGCGGACUCAUGUCCAGCCUGAUGAAAAGAGAUGCUGCAGGAGAGCCUUGCGUCCUAUUAGCUUGUUGGUGGGGUAACGGCCCACCAAGGCGAUGAUAGGUAGCCGGCCUGAGAGGGUGGACGGCCACAAGGGGACUGAGAUACGGCCCUUACUCCUACGGGAGGCAGCAGUGGGGAAUAUUGGACAAUGGGGGCAACCCUGAUCCAGCAAUUCGGUGUGCACGAUGAAGGUUUUCGGAUUGUAAAGUGCUUUCAGCAGGGAAGAAAAAAUGACGGUACCUGCAGAAGAAGCGACGGCUAAAUACGUG